rnacentral:rRNA from 1 species
GACAGAGGAUGCAAGCGUUAUCCGGAAUGAUUGGGCGUAAAGCGUCUGUAGGUGGCUUUUUAAGUCCGCCGUCAAAUCCCAGGGCUCAACCCUGGACAGGCGGUGGAAACUACCAAGCUGGAGUACGGUAGGGGCAGAGGGAAUUUCCGGUGGAGCGGUGAAAUGCGUAGAGAUCCGGAAGAACACCGGUGGCGAAGGCGGCCUGCUGGGCAGUUGCUGACACUGAGGCGCGACAGCGUGGGGAGCAAACAGG